rnacentral:rRNA from 1 species
UACGUAGGGUGCAAGCGUUAAUCGGAAUUACUGGGCGUAAAGCGUGCGCAGGCGGUUGUGCAAGACAGAUGUGAAAUCCCCGGGCUCAACCUGGGAAUUGCAUUUGUGACUGCAUGGCUAGAGUACGAAAGAGGGUCGCGGAAUUCCCGGUGUAGAGGUGAAAUUCGUAGAUAUCGGGAGGAACACCGGUGGCGAAGGCGGCGACCUGGGUCGAGACUGACGCUGAGGCGCGAAAGCGUGGGGAGCAAACAGG